rnacentral:rRNA from 1 species
AUUGAACGCUGGCGGCAGGCCUAACACAUGCAAGUCGAGCGGAGCGGCGGACGGGUGAGUAAUGCCUAGGAAUCUGCCUGGUAGUGGGGGAUAACGUCCAGAAACGGGCGCUAAUACCGCAUACUAUCAGAUCGGCCUAGGUCGGAUUGGCUAGUUGGUGGGGUAAAGGCCUACCACGGGGACGAUCCCUAGCUGGUCUGAGAGGAUGACCUGCCACACUGGAACAUAGACACGGUCCAGACUCCUACGGGAGGAAGCAGUGGGGAAUAUUGCACAAUGGGCGCAAGCCUGAUGCAGCCAUGCCGCGUGAAUGAAGAAGGCCUUCGGAUUGUAAAGUACUUUCAGCGGAGAGGCGUUACCCGCAGAAGAAGCACCGGCUAACUCCGUGCCAGCAGCCGCGGUAAUAC